ensembl:lncRNA
CGCGGGAGAACGGGCUCCGUGCAGGGCCUGGCGGCAGCGGCACCCACCUGCUACCGGCGGCUGCCCGACCAGCGGCUUCUGGGCGGGAGGUCUCCUGACACGGGGCCUGAGGAUGCGCCUCGCCUCCCCCGUAACGUUUGACCGGGAGGACUGCGAGGUGGCCGUAGUCAGCACGAGGGGUAAAUGGGAGCUGCUUAUGACAAUAUGUGUGUGUGUUUGUGUGUUCAGAUCUGCAAAUUAUGGCACCUCCAAUAAACAGCAUUAGGGAAUAUAUAUAUAUAUUUAAGACCAGUCCUUGGACUGGUCAAGAAAAUGGUAAGAAGCUGAGUUUGGAGCGUCCUUGCAGCCAGAAGAAAGUAAGUCAUAGGAAGUGCAGGGGGUAUCUGUACCUGCUGCCCUCCUCACUCUGCAGGCUGCAGGCCCAGCUGGCUACAGCCACAGCUGCUUUCCCCUGCCAUCCCCUGGUGCUGCAGGGACAGGCCUGUGGGCCUGGCACAGUCCAGGGGAUGGUGGAUGUGUCCCACGUGAGUUUCUCACGUUGGUGAAGUCACAUCCUUAGGAAAAGCUUGGGAGGCGGCUCACCUGUGUUCCAAAAGCUCUGGAGCUGCGAGCUCACUGCAUUGAAAUGAGUUGUGUGCUGCUUGUCCGCCACACGGAGCAUUUACGACCCAGUAAUUCAAUUCUUUCCCCCACAUAAGAUGAGGUUAUCAGGCAAUGACAUCUCUGCAGGCUCUUGGUCCUUAAGAAAAGUGCCAUUUUUUGCACAGCUCAUGACAACCUCUAAAUAUUGCCUUAAUUCACUGCAGCUUCUGAGCUGGAGGUGUUGCAAUUUGAUCAAUAGUUCCUUUUCUGAGGUUUGGUGCUCAUAGAUUGUAUCAGUUUUAAUGUUUCUGCUUUUUAUGCUGCAAAAUACGAAGCAAUUUUUAAAAUUAAUGCUCCCUAAGAGUGUAUUGCGCAAAAAGGCGAUAAACAAUGAAGAUGAUAUAAUGAGGUCAAAAACGGCUUACAAAUUACUUUUCUGGGAAUAAGCAGAAAUUCUCUCUUCUUAGCCCAGUGUCUUUGUGUAAGGUUGUUAACAGCAGGACUUUGAUCGUCUUAAGGAAAGUUUCCUGUUGCACUGCUGGGCCGGAGUGCUGGACCAGUUCCUUUCCCCUUCCAAAAUAUAGACUUUCUUAUAUUAUUUGUAGAUAUGUAGAAGAAGCAGCUUCUUCUACACUGCUUGUUUGUUAUUCUGUUGUUGUUGUUGUUGUUGUUUGCUUUUAUGUAUGCUGCACUAUUCAUCACCAGAUAACUUCCAUUAAAGGCACCAAUUGCUCAUACUCUUUGAAAGUAUUUGCUUCAGUGUAGCACUAAAAACAGUAAUAGAAUUUGUUUUGUUCGAGUCUGUUUCCCUGGUAGACACAAUGGAUCCAAAAAGGUGUUGAAAAGAAUUUUUAUUUUUUACCCAGUUUACCUCAAAUCAUGAUAAGAUGACAAAGGAUCGUCUUCCAUUAAAUUCCUCCCCUUUUCUCCCUUCUUCCCCUCACCUCUCUUCCCCUCCUCCUCAAAAAGAAAAAACAAAGUGCAAAAAAAAAAAAAGAACCC